CCUACGGGAGGCUGCAGUGAGGAAUAUUGGUCAAUGGACGAGAGUCUGAACCAGCCAAGUAGCGUGAAGGAUGACUGCCCUAUGGGUUGUAAACUUCUUUUAUAAAGGAAUAAAACGAGGCACGUGUGCCUUUUUGCAUGUACUUUAUGAAUAAGGAUCGGCUAACUCCGUGCCAGCAGCCGCGGUAAUACGGAGGAUCCGAGCGUUAUCCGGAUUUAUUGGGUUUAAAGGGAGCGUAGAGUGGUUGUUAAGUCAGUUGUGAAAGUUUGCGGCUCAACCGUAAAAUUGCAAUUGAUACUGGCAGUCUUGAGUACAGUUGAGGUAGGCGGAAUGCGUGGUGUAGCGGUGAAAUGCUUAGAUAUCACGAAGAACUCCGAUUGCGAAGGCAGCUUACUAACCUGCCACUGACAUUGAUGCUCGAAAGUGUGGGUAUCGAACAGGAUUAGAUACCCCUGUAGUC
rnacentral:rRNA from 1 species